rnacentral:rRNA from 1 species
CUCAGGAUGAACGCUAGCGGCAGGCUUAACACAUGCAAGUCGAGGGGCAACGCGAGUAGCAAUACUUGGCGGCGACCGGCGCAAGGGUGCGUAACGCGUGAGCAACAUGCCCGUAUCAGGGGGAUAAUCCAGGGAAACUUGGUCUAAUACCCCAUAGUAAUUUGUAAGGCAUCUUAUAAGAUUUAAAGCUUUGGCGGAUACGGAUUGGCUCGCGUGACAUUAGCUGGAUGGUAAGGUAACGGCUUACCAUGGCUAUGAUGUCUAGGGGUUCUGAGAGGAAGGUCCCCCACACUGGAACUGAGACACGGUCCAGACUCCUACGGGAGGCAGCAGUGAGGAAUAUUGGACAAUGGAUGGAAAUCUGAUCCAGCCAUGCCGCGUGAAGGAAGAAGGUCCUAUGGAUUGUAAACUUCUUUUGUAUGGGAGCAAUAAGGCCUACGAGUAGGUUGAUGAGAGUACCAUACGAAUAAGCACCGGCUAACUCCGUGCCAGCCGCCGC